rnacentral:rRNA from 1 species
CGCGUCUUAGCAUGCAAGUUGAGCGGCAAGCAUCAGCAAUGGUGCCUAGAGCGGCGGACUGGUGAGUAACGCGUGGGUGACCUACCUAGAGGUUGGGGAUAGCCGUUAGAAAUAGCGGGUAAUACCGAAUGUGGUUGUGGGGCAGUGGCUCUGCAAAGAAAGGGGCUUUGGCCCCGCCUUAAGAUGGGCCCGCGUCCCAUUAGCUAGUUGGAGGGGUAAAGGCCUGCCAAGGCGAUGAUGGGUAGCCGGCCUGAGAGGGUGAACGGCCACACUGGGACUGAGAUACGGCCCAGACUCCUACGGGAGGCAGCAGCUAAGAAUAUUCCGCAAUGGACGAAAGUCUGACGGAGCGACGCCGCGUGGAUGAGGAAGGCCGAAAGGUUGUAAAAUCCUUUUGUUGCUGAAGAAUAAGGUGGGGAGGGAAUGCCCCAUUGAUGACGUUAGGCAAUGAAUAAGCCCCGGCUAAUUACGUGCCAGCAGCCGCGGUAACACGUAAGGGGCGAGCGUUGUUCGGAAUUAUUGGGCGUAAAGGGCGCGUAGGCGGUUACGGAAGUCUGGCGUGAAAGGCGUGGGCUCAACUCACGGAUUGCGCUGGAAACUGGGUGACUUGAGUGAUGGAGGGGCAGUUGGAAUUCCUGGUGUAGGGGUGAAAUCUGUAGAUAUCAGGAAGAACACCGGUGGCGAAGGCGAACUGCCAGCCAAUGACUGACGCUGAGGCGCGAAAGUGCGGGGAGCAAACAGGAUUAGAUACCCUGGUAGUCCGCACUAUAAACGAUGCACACUAUGUGUUGGGCCGAGCGGCUCAGUGCCGGAGCGAACGCGAUAAGUGUGCCGCCUGGGGAGUAUGCCCGCAAGGGUGAAACUCAAAGGAAUUGACGGGGGCCCGCACAAGCGGUGGAGCAUGUGGUUUAAUUCGAUGAUACGCGAGGAACCUUACCUGGGUUUGACAUGGGGACGAGGUAUAGAGAUAUAUCCGCCUGGCAACAGCGUCUUCACAGUGCUGCAUGCUGUCGUCAGCU